rnacentral:rRNA from 1 species
GAGGAAUAUUGGUCAAUGGACGGAAGUCUGAACCAGCCAAGUAGCGUGCAGGAUGACGGCCCUAUGGGUUGUAAACUGCUUUUGUAUGGGGAUAAAGUUAGGGACGUGUCCCUAUCUGCAGGUACCAUACGAAUAAGGACCGGCUAAUUCCGUGCCAGCAGCCGCGGUAAUACGGAAGGUCCGGGCGUUAUCCGGAUUUAUUGGGUUUAAAGGGAGCGUAGGCUGGAGAUUAAGUGUGUUGUGAAAUGUAGACGCUCAACGUCUGACUUGCAGCGCAUACUGGUUUCCUUGAGUACGCACAACGUUGGCGGAAUUCGUCGUGUAGCGGUGAAAUGCUUAGAUAUGACGAAGAACUCCGAUUGCGAAGGCAGCUGACGGGAGCGCAACUGACGCUGAAGCUCGAAGGUGCGGGUAUCGAACAGGAUUAGAUACCCUGGUAGUCCGCACAGUAAACGAUGGAUGCCCGCUGUUGGUACCUGGUAUCAGCGGCUAAGCGAAAGCAUUAAGCAUCCCACCUGGGGAGUACGCCGGCAACGGUG